ACGUAGGGGGCAAGCGUUAUCCGGAUUUACUGGGUGUAAAGGGAGCGUAGACGGCACGGCAAGCCAGAUGUGAAAGCCCGGGGCUCAACCCCGGGACUGCAUUUGGAACUGCUGAGCUAGAGUGUCGGAGAGGCAAGUGGAAUUCCUAGUGUAGCGGUGGAAUGCGUAGAUAUUAGGAGGAACACCAGUGGCGAAGGCGGCUUGCUGGACGAUGACUGACGUUGAGGCUCGAAAGCGUGGGGAGCAAACAG
rnacentral:rRNA from 1 species